rnacentral:rRNA from 1 species
UAAAAGCUUACCAAGGCCACGAUCGGUAGCUGGUGUGAGAGGACGAUCAGCCACACUGGGAUUGAGAACGGCCCAGACUCCUACGGGGGGCAGCAGUGAGGAAUUUUCGUCAAUGGGGGCAACCCUGAACGAGCAACGCUGCGUGCAGGAUGAAGGUUUUCGGAUCGUAAACUGCUUUUCUCUGGGAAGAGAACGGACGGUACCAGAGGAAGAAGCCCCGGCUAACUACGUGCCAGCAGCCGCGGUAAUACGUAGGGCGCAAGCGUUGUCCGGAAUUAUUGGGAGUAAAGAGCUGGUAGGCGGACUGUUGCGUCUGCUGUGAAAAGCUGGGGCUUAACCCUGGCCUUGCAGUGGAUACGGGCAGACUAGAGGUAGGUAGGGGAGAAUGGAAUUCCCGGUGUAGCGGUGAAAUG